rnacentral:rRNA from 1 species
UACAGAGGGGGCAAGCGUUGUUCGGAAUUACUGGGCGUAAAGGGCGCGUAGGCGGCCUGCUAAGUCGAACGUGAAAUCCCCGGGCUCAACCCGGGAACUGCGUCCGAUACUGACAGGCUUGAAUCCGGGAGAGGGAUGUGGAAUUCCAGGUGUAGCGGUGAAAUGCGUAGAUAUCUGGAGGAACACCGGUGGCGAAGGCGGCAUCCUGGACCGGUAUUGACGCUGAUGCGCGAAGGCUGAGGGGAGCAAACGGG